AAUUGAGGCUCGAGACACAGAUGUGUUGAACAGUCUGUGUCUUCACCCUGGUAUGUGAUGUACUGAUGUGCGCCAGUGAGCAGAGAUCAGGGCCAAGAGGAACAAGACACGGGCCAGCUCCUGGAAUCUCAGCCUGGAAGUAGAACUCCC